UCGGCGUGGUUGAUUCGGUGGUUUUUAUGCUGGAUGAUUUGAAUUUGAUGAUGCGAUAUGGCUUUGUUGGUGGGUAGUUGAUUAGUUGCUCUUGUUUGGGAGAGGGUGAUUUUGAUAAGUUUAAUGAAGCUUUUUCGCAUUUGAAUUGGUCUUUAGCCGGAUCUGCGAGUUCCACUUCAAUAAGUGCAAUAGAGAACGUGUCCGUUGUUCAAUCUAUGCGAUUCUUCCCUGCUAAAUCUAAAGGGAUUCGCACCUCAUUAUUGUCUAUG